rnacentral:rRNA from 1 species
UACAGAGGUCUCAAGCGUUGUUCGGAUUCAUUGGGCGUAAAGGGUGCGUAGGCGGCGCGGUAAGUCGGGUGUGAAAUCUUGGAGCUUAACUCCGAAACUGCAUUCGAUACUGCCGUGCUUGAGGACUGGAGAGGAGACUGGAAUUUACGGUGUAGCGGUGAAAUGCAUAGAUAUCGUAAGGAAGACCAGUGGCGAAGGCGGGUCUCUGGACAGUUCCUGACACUGAGGCACGAAGGCCAGGGGAGCAAACGGG